AUAUUUAACCUGGCAGGAGAGAUACCAUGAUCAUGGUUUUCCCAGGGGGGAGGCUUAUCCAUUACACUCCAGAUGUGUUGACCCCUGCAAUUUCCCCAAAUGUGGAAACUCAACUGCAUAAUUUGUGGUAGUGGGGGGCUGUGCUCACACUCUUCCAUG